UGGGGAAUUUUGGACAAUGGAGGCAACUCUGAUCCAGCCAUGCCGCGUGCAGGAUGACUGCCCUAUGGGUUGUAAACUGCUUUUAUACAGGAAGAAACCCACCUACGUGUAGGUGGCUGACGGUACUGUAAGAAUAAGGAUCGGCUAACUCCGUGCCAGCAGCCGCGGUAAUACGGAGGAUCCAAGCGUUAUCCGGAAUCAUUGGGUUUAAAGGGUCCGCAGGCGGGCUAUUAAGUCAGAGGUGAAAGUUUGCCGCUCAACGGUAAAAUUGCCUUUGAUACUGAUAGUCUUGAAUUAUUGUGAAGUGGUUAGAAUAUGUAGUGUAGCGGUGAAAUGCAUAGACAUUACAUAGAAUACCGAUUGCGAAGGCAGAUCACUAACAAUAUAUUGACGCUGAGGGACGAAAGCGUGGGUAGCGAACGGGAUUAGAUACCCCUGUAGUCC
rnacentral:rRNA from 1 species